UCUUAUGAAUGAGAAAAGAAAGUGGUUUCUUGAGAUGGAAUCUACUUUUGGUGAAAAUGCUGUGAA
rnacentral:pre_miRNA from 1 species